rnacentral:rRNA from 1 species
UACGUAGGGGGCAAGCGUUGUCCGGAUUUACUGGGCGUAAAGAGCGUGUAGGCGGCCAAACAGGUCCGUUGUGAAAACUCGAGGCUCAACCUCGAGACGUCGGCGGAAACCAUCUGGCUAGAGUCCGGAAGAGGAGAGUGGAAUUCCUGGUGUAGCGGUGAAAUGCGCAGAUAUCAGGAAGAACACCCGUGGCGGAAGGCGGCUCUCUGGGACGGUACUGACGCUGAGACGCGAAAGCGUGGGGAGCGAACAGG